rnacentral:rRNA from 1 species
AACGAACGCUGGCGGCAUGCCUAACACAUGCAAGUCGAACGUGAAAGUACUUCGGUAUGAGUAAAGUGGCGCACGGGUGAGUAACACGUAGGUGACCUGCCUAUUAAUGGGGAAUAACCAGAAGAAAUUUUGGCUAAUACCGCAUACGAAGCACAAAUCUUAGAGUAGUGCUUGAAAGGAUGCCUCUGUAUAUGCAUUCGCUAAUAGAUGGGCCUGCGGUACAUUAGCUAGUUGGUGGGGUAAAGGCCUACCAAGGCAACGAUGUAUAUCCGGUCUGAGAGGAUGAUCGGACACACGGGAACUGAGACACGGUCCAGACUCCUACGGGAGGCAGCAGUGGGGAAUAUUGCGCAAUGGGGGAAACCCUGACGCAGCAAUGCCGCGUGAGUGAGGAAGGAUUUCGGUCUGUAAAGCUCUGUUAAUGUGGAAGAAUGAGACGUGGUCUAAUAGGCCAUGUAAGUGACGGUACACAUAGAGGAAGCACCGGCUAACUUCGUGCCAGCCGCCGCAGUAAAAC